UACGUAGGGGGCAAGCGUUAUCCGGAUUUACUGGGUGUAAAGGGAGCGUAGGUGGCAAGGCAAGUCAGAAGUGAAACCCUCGGGCUCAACCUGAGGCAUGCUUUUGAAACUGUCAAGCUGGAGUGCUGGAGUGGUAAGCGGAAUUCCUAGUGUAGCGGUGAAAUGCGUAGAUAUUAGGAGGAACACCGGUGGCGAAGGCGGCUUACUGGACAGUAACUGACACUGAGGCUCGAAAGCGUGGGGAGCAAACAGG
rnacentral:rRNA from 1 species